UACGAAGGGGGCUAGCGUUGCUCGGAAUCACUGGGCGGAAAGGGGGCGUAGGCGGGGCUUUAAGGCAGGGGGGAAAUCCUGGAGCUCAACUCCAGAACUGCCUUUGAUACUGAGGAUCUUGAGUACGGGAGAGGUGAGUGGAACUGCGAGUGUAGAGGUGAAAUUCGUAGAUAUUCGCAAGAACACCAGUGGCGAAGGCGGCUCACUGGCCCGUAACUGACGCUGAGGCACGAAAGCGUGGGGAGCAAACAGG
rnacentral:rRNA from 1 species